AUGGACGAAGUCUGACGGAGCAACGCCGCGUGAGUGAUGAAGGUUUUCGGAUCGUAAAACUCUGUUGUUAGGGAAGAACAAGUACCGUUCGAAUAGGGCGGUACCUUGACGGUACCUAACCAGAAAGCCACGGCUAACUACGUGCCAGCAGCCGCGGUAAUACGUAGGUGGCAAGCGUUGUCCGGAAUUAUUGGGCGUAAAGCGCGCGCAGGCGGUUUCUUAAGUCUGAUGUGAAAGCCCCCGGCUCAACCGGGGAGGGUCAUUGGAAACUGGGGAACUUGAGUGCAGAAGAGGAGAGUGGAAUUCCACGUGUAGCGGUGAAAUGCGUAGAGAUGUGGAGGAACACCAGUGGCGAAGGCGACUCUCUGGUCUGUAACUGACGCUGAGGCGCGAAAGCGUGGGGAGCGAACAGGAUUAGAUACCCUGGUAGUCCACGCCGUAAACGAUGAGUGCUAAGUGUUAGAGGGUUUCCGCCCUUUAGUGCUGCAGCAAACGCAUUAAGCACUCCGCCUGGGGAGUACGGUCGCAAGACUGAAACUCAAAGGAAUUGACGGGGGCCCGCACAAGCGGUGGAGCAUGUGGUUUAAUUCGAAGCAACGCGAAGAACCUUACCAGGUCUUGACAUCCUCUGACAACCCUAGAGAUAGGGCUUCCCCUUCGGGGGCAGAGUGACAGGUGGUGCAUGGUUGUCGUCAGCUCGUGUCGUGAGAUGUUGGGUUAAGUCCCGCAACGAGCGCAACCCUUGAUCUUAGUUGCCAGCAUUCAGUUGGGCACUCUAAGGUGACUGCCGGUGACAAACCGGAGGAAGGUGGGGAUGACGUCAAAUCAUCAUGCCCCUUAUGACCUGGGCUACACACGUGCUACAAUGGGCAGAACAAAGGGCAGCGAAGCCGCGAGGCUAAGCCAAUCCCACAAAUCUGUUCUCAGUUCGGAUCGCAGUCUGCAACUCGACUGCGUGAAGC
rnacentral:rRNA from 1 species